GAAAUUGAAUGGCACGGUUGGGUUUGCAAAGCACUCUUAGGGUUUAUAUGAGAGGGAAUUGGUUCUUUGUCGAUGAGUUCCCUUCAGUCUCUGGAGGUUGCUCUGAACUCUGUUUGCUCUUCUCUCACUAUCUUUUUCCCUGCCAGGGUAAUAGGAAUAGAAUGGCCUUUUGUUUCACUGAAACUCUGAAUUUAUAACCUGAUUUUUGUGGACCUGUGGGCUCAAAUGAGAGAGGCCCAAG
rnacentral:lncRNA from 1 species